GCGUCGGUGGUCUAAUGGUUACGCGCUAGAAUCUGAGAUUCGCUGGUUUAUGGCGACUGCGCGCCGUAAAUGACUUCGGCCUUCCAAGCCGACUAUCCGGGUUCGAAUCCCGGCCGACGCA
rnacentral:tRNA from 1 species